GAACACACAAGAAAACAAGUUGUCUAUCUUUAUUUGGAACUGCACACACUGAAGAACGGAAGAAUGAUAAAGAGAAAGGCAGAUUUCGGGUCAAUGCUUUUAAAGGCGGCAAGUAUGAGGCAGUCAUAAGACAAGAAGAUCGAAGAACCAAAUUUUAAAAAAGAAAGACCAUAACCACUGCGCAGAGAAAGGGGGGUGCAAAAUCAUACUAGUGGGGGCAAAAACGCCGUGAAACUCGCAGAGACAACAGCCAUCGGAGAGUGGAAUGAACAUUGUGGGCAGACACUAAACAAAAACACCUGAAAGAACCCAUUGAAUAAAAAGACCAGCAAACACCCAAUGUGCAAAGAGAAAAUAAAAGCAAAUCGAGCAAACAAUAAAAAUAAGCAAAUCGCAUGCAGAAUGAAAGUGGGUCUACAGACGUGGUGCCGGCAUCACUGCAGCCAAAUCAG